AUGGCGCGAUGGUGCAAUAUGGAGGGAUGUAGACAUUGCAAAUUGCAGGUAGUGUCUGUAGCGCUAGGUUCCUUAUUUCCUCGAACUGGGGCAGUUGUUGAGGCUGGACAGAGCCCUGGGCCUGUGGGUUUUGCUGAGAUGGCCGGAAGGAGCCCUGGCCUAAUGGAUAUUGUUGCUGAGGCUGUUGGAAGGAGACCUGACUCGAUGGUUGUUGUUGUUGUUGUUGUUGAUUUGUUGUGGUUGUUGUUGUUGUUGUUGUUGUUGUUGUUGUUGUUGCUGUUGUUGUUGUUGUUGUUGUUGUUGUUGUUGUUGUUGUUGUUGUUGUUGUUUUUGUUGUUGUUGAUGCAGAAUAAUAGCAUGAACAACAUUGUGGAUGGCCUGGCACUGCGACUGCUCAGGGAUCUGCCAUAG
rnacentral:rRNA from 1 species